UGGGGAAUAUUGCACAAUGGGGGAAACCCUGAUGCAGCGACGCCGCGUGAACGAAGAAGGUAUUCGUAUCGUAAAGUUCUGUCCGAUGGGAAGAUAAUGACAGUACCAUAGAAGAAAGCUCCGGCUAAAUACGUGCCAGCAGCCGCGGUAAUACGUAUGGAGCGAGCGUUGUCCGGAAUUAUUGGGCGUAAAGGGUACGCAGGCGGUUUAAUAAGUCGAAUGUUAAAGAUCGGGGCUCAACCCCGCAAAGCAUUGGAAACUGAUAAACUUGAGUAGUGGAGAGGAAAGUGGAAUUCCUAGUGUAGUGGUGAAAUACGUAGAUAUUAGGAGGAAUACCAGUAGCGAAGGCGACUUUCUGGACACAAACUGACGCUGAGGUACGAAAGCGUGGGGAGCAAACAGG
rnacentral:rRNA from 1 species